UAAAAAAUAUACCAGGGGAGAUACCAUGAUCACAAAGGAGGUUUUUCCAGGGUAAGGCUUAUCCAUUGCACUCCAGAUGUGUUCACCCCUGCAAUUUCCCCAAAUGUGGGAAACUUGACUGCAUGUUUUGUGGUAGUGGCAGAUUACAUUCAUGCUUUCCCU
ensembl:snRNA U1 U1 spliceosomal RNA